AUUCUGUUAGUGCUGCACUAAAAGAAUCAUUAGUAAUAAGCCCAUGCAGUGAAGGAACUGAACAAUUGUGGACCGUAUUUGGGCCGAAAAUGGGUGUGGUACAGAAACCCAGAAAUGGCACAAGUUCAACAUGAAACAUGGAUUAGAAUUUAACGGGGGAUCAAAUCAAGUCUGGAAGUGUUACAGGAUGGAAGAGUCAGCCUACAGAUGAAAAAACACUGAGAGUGCAUUACCGUUAAGGUGUGAGGUAAAUUAAUAGAGUAAUGCAAAUUGCCUAAUGAGAAGUACCAUCUUGUGUUAAUGAAUCCAGUACAACAGCAAUCCUUUAUAGUUCUGUCACAGCUAGAAGCCUCAAAUAAUUCUGCUUCUCUGUCUAAAGAACAACUUGUCCUUUACGUUCAGAGUGUUGGGGAAACUGGGUACUUAAAUGGCCCUAAAGAUGUUUUAAUUUUGCUGCCAUUGCAGAGAUGAACAUCAUACAUGGACUCUUUAGGUCUAAUCUACCAAAAAAUAUUUUAUCCAAUAGGAAAGGAUUUUCAUGUACUGGGAACACAACUAUCAACAAUGCAACAUUCUACAGGUGCUAGUUUAUCAUUCAAGAGCCUUAUACAAUGAUGUUCAUCUGCAAUUUGUAUGUCCUUUCCCAAGCUUCCACCAGAAGUUGAAUCUAUGAGUCAUGUAAGUUACAUGAUCAACAAUUGAUAUGUUUAACGGUGUUGUUUUUCUUUUCUCAAUAUAGGUUAAUAGUAACAUUGGAUCUGAAAAGAUUCUUGGUUGGGGCAAGACACUGAAUAAAUUGUAUUGAUUGGAUGGAUGACAUGACAUUUCUGUACUUAAUUCGGAUUCCCCAGACGGUAUUUGAUAUUUAAAAAAUUGAAGUGCAUAUCUGGGCUCCCUUCUUUUCUGAAGCCCCGUUUCCCCUUGACUCAUAAUAAGCCCGUAGGGGGUCAUGCCCCUACUGUACGGUAUAUAUAAAAACAACAUAUACCGAGGUUUGGAGGGCUCUGGCCGGAAAGGGGACGUGGGGUGCCGCUUCGUCCGAUGAUGUGUUCACGGAGGGUGACGUGGCUGCCCACAAAUCCGAACUAAAGGUUAAUCGCUCCUGUAAAAAUGUUCCAAAUCUUCAGCUCUUCUUCCGGCUUCUCUUAGCCAAUCACCGGGUAAUCUCCCCGGUGGGUCAA